CAAUAGUGAAUAAGUCUCAUGAGAUCUAAUGGUUGUAAAAAGGGGAGUUCUCCUGCAUAAACUCUCUCUUUGUAGGAGCUAAGAUUGCAAGAUCAGGGAGAGAGCAGGGCCAAACUAUAUCCGGCUUUGUAGGCCUUGGUGAGGACUUCUAUUCUCAUUCUGAAUGAGAAAGGAAGUCAACAGAAACUUUUUAACCAAGUGGCAAUAUGAUCUGAUUUGCAUUUUACGAGGAUCUCAUUGACCACCACAUAAAAAAAAGGCUCUAGAAAACCAAGGACAAAAGCAGGAAGAACCUUCACAAGACCAGUGCAACAAUCCAGGACUCACAGGUUGGAGGGCCUGAGAAGUUCUCUUGAUUGUGGGAAAAAGAGGAUUAAGUCAAAAGGAUUUACACCCAGCCUCAUCCUGUACUCUAAACCAUUAUUCAGCCAGUAAGUCUUUCAGAUUAAUUAUGGGUAUUUUCUGCCAUGUCCUUCUUCUUCUGAAAUCUAGCAGGAAUCAUAUCUUAUCCCUGCUUGAAUACCUCAUAUUAUAAUGCCUGGCAUUUGUCAUAAGAAAAAAAUGGCAUUUUUGAUUGUAAGAAUAAAUUAUGACUGUCUCCUGGAUUCUAUGCUGUUUUGGUAUUUUCUUUCUUUUAUGACUUUUCUUA
rnacentral:lncRNA from 1 species